GGCGCGGUGGCAGAAUGGUGAUGCAGAGGACUGCAAAUCCUCGAAUAUGGGUUCGAUUCCCGUCCGCGCCUCCA
rnacentral:tRNA from 1 species